UGCGUUCUUCGGCUCAAAACCGAUUACAGAUUCGAUAGCCUCCCUUUCGACUACUAAUAGUCCAGAAAAACGUGCAACGGUGCUUAAGCUACUGCACUCAAGUGCAAUCCUUUUUGUUCAAAAGAAUAUACAUUUCCAAAAGAUUCCAUAAGAGAACAGCUUUUGGUGCCUAUAUGCAGCUUUCGAAAAGGCAAACAGAAUUAUAGAUACAAAAUAACUACACGUUUAAUUACAAAGAAAAUAUAUAAUAGCUCAAAAUGGCUAUGAUCGUGGAGCGCUGCAUUCUUAGUUGUCUGUUGGCUGACAGUUGAUUGGAACUUUUUUAUCCAAUUCAGUAGGAAUUGAUCCAAACCGCAUAUUCUUUUGACGAAGGCAAGAUCAAAUUGGAGCCACAUCGUCAUUGUGCUCGCUUUAACAUUGCUUACAUUUUCAGUGUUGUGAGACGUCGGGGGUUAUCGACUUAAGUGUUUAGAGCUGUGGCAAUUUCCUGGGGAAAAUCGUUAUAUGGAGGUGAAUUCCAAAAAUUAAAAAUGGUUAAGAAAAGUAAGAUCUAACUAUGUUUGUACGACUUAAUGUUAUAGGGCCAAGAAAGUAAUUCAACUAUACAAUUGAAAAAUUGGAUGAUAUUUGAAAUAUCACUACUCGCAGAGCGUGUUCCCGUGUUCACAUUAAGUGACAUUUCCUAAAGAUCAGGAAAGUUAAAAAAAGUAUCUACAGUUUUCGAGAUAAUAGCAUAACAGUAGGUCAAGCUAUUAACCAGCUCCAUUCAUAAAGGAGACUUUGAAAUUAAUUGUAUAUUGUGGUCGCUCACAGAGCGUGUUCCGGAAUAAUGAAUUAAGCAAUGAUCUUGAAAAAACUAAUCAAAAAAUUAUUCACAGUUUUUCCGAAAAUCGCCUAACAGUGGAAGGAGUUUAAUGGUAUUUGAAAAUUCAUCUAUAGUACAAGUACCGCAGCAGAUCCAUUUCAUGAACCUUAUUAAAAAUAAGAUUUCUGCGAUAACUUUACAUAUUAAUUACUCCGCUUACAGUGUUGUAAUUUUAUAAAUUAUUUACACAAAAAGUUUGACUACAAUUUAAUCCACAGUUUUCGAGGAGAUGUCACUUUUCUGUGACUACACGCGGUUUUCAUCCAUCGUUUUCGAAACUGUGCUAGACAACACCCAACCGAAGACACUAGAGUAACAAGAUGCGUAACGCCAUACGAAUUUUCGGCACACGAUUUUU